rnacentral:tRNA from 1 species
CGCCAGAUAGCUCAACAGGAUAGAGCGUCCGGUUCCGAACCGGGAGGCCGCAGGUUCGAGUCCUGCUCUGGCGACCA